rnacentral:lncRNA from 1 species
AAGCAGUGACUCUGGAAAGCCUCUUUCAACUGUUCCCUAAAUGUGACAGCACCCAAGCUCUUCUAGCACUUCAUUUCUCAGUCUUUCAGAGCUCUGAGUGCCUGAAGUCCUGAGCAAGCCUUCAGCAGCGUCUUGGUCGUGACAAAGCUGGAAGGUCAUUGCCUACCUUGUAUGAAAACCUGAGUGCAAUCAGCAUAAAGGUUUCAGCAGGUAUCUGUCCACGUCUAAUGCACAUGCACAGGCCCAAGUUCUUUAUCUUCCUAUAAAAGGCAGUGAAGGCUAAUGUUCGCUUUUGAAAUGGCAUGUGAUAUGGCUGUGGUAGAUUACAGCAUUCUCUCUGGCUGCAUAAGCAACUUGUUUUCAAAGUCCUCCGUUGACUUAGGUUAGAUUCAGACCCAUGUUUCAUAUUCCUUUCAGUAUGUUUUAACCACAAAACCAUAGACUGCUCUAGGGAAUAGAGGAGGAACAUUUAUCAUUCUUUUUAGCGAAGCUGUGUCAUUGUACGGAAGAGAAUCCAAGAUCAGCUGGAUCAGAGAGAAGCAUGAUUAUUCUGUGUGGGAAUUUGAUCUGUGCCAUUCAUGAUGAGCAGUACCCUAACGGAUUAAUGGGCAGUAAUGAUGCUGCUCCUGAAUUUGGAAGUCAGUAUUAAUGGGGAUCACAGAUCCCACCUUUAGGUUACUUACUGAGUAAGUCAAGAAAAUAGAUUUCAUGGCAAUAUGCACCACUGAUUUUUAGUGGGAACUGAAGUUUUCAUGUGCUGCACUGUAUUCUUACAGUUCUCGGGAGUGGAAGUCACAUAUAUGUGACUUCUUCCUUCUGAUGCCCUGGGGGAGAUUCUCAGUUCGGGUUGUGACAGUCACGUUGGAUUAGCUGGAAGCUGAGGGAAAAGACUGUGAAUAGAUACACAGAAAAAAAAAAAAAUUUAAGGCUACUGUUUUUGAAGAACACAUUCAAUCAAGAAUAAGCCAAAGGCUGAACAGACAGAUUUAGUUGGUUAAUUAUAAAUGAAUUAUAAAUAAAUUUAAUUAUAAAUAAUUAUAAGUUGUAUAA